UCCCUGGUGGCUCAGAUGGUAAAGCGUCUGCCUACAAUGUGGAAGACCUGGGUUCAAUCCCUGGGCUGGGAA
rnacentral:tRNA from 1 species